UUUCUGGUGCCAAAUCACAGUUGGUUUAUCAGCAAGCUCCCCCCACCCCACUUCCCCACCAGACAAGGGCAGGCUGUGUGUGCUCCAGCCGCUCAGCUUCCCUUUUGAAAUUGGCUCUUUUCUAAGAACUGAAAAUAAGCACCCUAGGCCGUGACUUCACUUUUCUUGGAACUGCUUUACAUUAGAAGAAAACACACACACACACACACACACACAUACACACACACCCUUCAUUUAGUUGGUUUUGGAUUACUGAGUUCCCUGGUCAUUCCUGCUAUGUCUUCUUGUAAAGCUGAAGUUUUACCGCAAAAUUCUGAUGCAUCAGGUGAAGUAGGAAGGGGAAGCGGUGACCCCGUGACAUGGUCGAGGGUACUGUGCCCUGGCCUGUUCGGGUAUGAUUUAAUACUAGAGGAGAGAAAGAGCUGGGAUGGACACACUGUGGGGUCAUAUUCAGAUCCCCCCAGGUCUCAGGUAUGACUGCACGAGCCUGAGAGCUGUCAGGCUCCAAACAGGCUAGGGCUGGUGUCACUAAACCUCAGGCCACAGUCCAAACUCACCAAACAGCUACCUGUUUGCAAGGAGAAGGAGAAGAAAUGCACUUCGAGCCACAAUGACCUACAUUUUAGCAGGCAAGUGGAGCCCGUGCCUGCUUAGGGUAAGGGAGAGAGUGGCUUAGCCACACAGGAGUUCCAGUCCUGGUCCUGCCCUUUCCCAUCUGACUUUGGCCUUGAGGGGUCAGUCUCUGAGCUGGACCCCGUUCUUCUCUCACAGGAUGCUCCCCAGUAGGUUCGUGGGAACUGAAGUAGGUGCCCCUUCUCAGUGGGGAUCUCUAUAGAUAGGCACAUACGUUGUUCUGAAAUUAUCUGUUGGUAUCUCUGUACCCUUCGGAGAAGGCUUUCCAGUGAUGUGAUGAUUGUGUCUUAUCUGUCUCUGCCCCACACAGGGCCUUGCAAAACCUACAUGGGUUGUCGGUAAAUGUUGGGUAAAUGGCUGCUUUUUAGGUAGGAGGACAGAGGAAACCCACAGGGAACAAUGCUCUUGAGUUUACACUUGGCACACAACAGUUUUCAAAUGAAAGGAGCACUUACAAGCCAUGCCUAACUCAAAGCACCCUUUGAAUUGAGCACCCUGGGUAAUUUAUAACCAGCCUGAGGGUGCUUGCUAGAAUGUUAGAGAGAACUUUCCGAAGUACAAACAGGGACACCCUGAUUAAGAAAAGGCUGGAAGAAAAGCAGAGACAGCAGAGCGACCCCCCCGCCCCGCAGAUUUAUGCACUUGGGGCAGAAUCUGAAAUUACAGCCCUAUGGGAAUCUGUAAACAUCUUUUGAUAAAAAAUGCAAAUUCCACCGGUAGUUACAAUGCCAGGGACUGCUAGAAGAUUUCCCCUAUGUUUCUUCAUUUUAUUGUGUCAAUGCCCCUGGGACUAUCAUCUCCCCAGCACCGUCUCCUGCCCCACCUCUGCAAAGGAAUGCAGUCCUUUGUCCACGGGCAGACAGCCAGCAGCCUGUGGCAGAGGGGUGUCAGGCCAGCUGAGGUCCCACGUUGUAGGGGGGGUGGGCCAGCACCGUCCAUCUGAGGGGCUGUCCUCAGAGAACCGCCUCCAGCCUACUCUGGAAGCUCCUGGUCUUUCCACUUAGGUGCUAGCUCCCCCUGCUGGCCAGCCCCGGGCACCGCCGCCCUGUGCUGUCCCAGAUGGGAUGAGAUGGGAUGAAACUGGGGCCAUGAGAAGCCUCACAGCUGUCCACCCUGGGAGUUUUGCCCAUUAUGGCCAGGCCAUCUUGGAGGUGGGGGACGAGGGACAGUGUUGAAAGGGUUCUGAUGGUCUUGCUUUUUGAAGCCCUGCUCUACUGCCUGUUAACUAACUGGGUGACCUUGGGGGGAAUGGGCUUCACUUCUCUGAGCCUUAUCUCUGUCAUCAGUCCAAAAGGGGUGACUUAAGGUCAGAGAGGUGAAGUAGUUUGUCCACAUGGCAGUCUUAGCAGGUGCUCAAAAAAUGUUCACCUCAAUGGCCUGCCUUUCGCUGAGCACCUGCUGGGUUCCAGGCUCUGGAGACACACACAGUGAACGACACGUGGUAGCUUCCAGUGGAGCAGUGUCUUCACAUCUCUGACCUCUCUCCUGCUUACAGCUCCAGAAACUUCUGUGAUUAAGUCACACUCACCAGGAUAACCUCCCCCAUCUCAAAGCCCUUCACCUAAUCACAUCUGCAAAGUGUGCAAAGGUAACAUUCACAGGUUCCAGGGAUUAGGCUACAGACAUCUUCGGGGGAGGCAUCCUCCCUACCCAGUCUGCCCUCCGUCCCUCCAAAAUGCACGUCUGUCCCAAAAGCAGAGAUGCAUUUGCUUCAUCCUGAGGCCCUACGUCUUCUCUGAAUCUCAUCAUCUAAAUCAUCUGAGUGUGCUGUGGGUGGGCCUUGAGUGUAACCCACCGUGAGCACCACUCCUCUCCACUGGCGACCUGUGGAACUCAAGAAACCAAGCUCAUCCCCUCCAAAUGCUGUGGGUGAGAACCCAGAGGAGAUGCAGUCUGGUUCUGUCCCUGAUCCAAGGGACCAGAGAUCCAGGCAAGAAUGAUAAGAAGAAACAACGAGGCUCCAGCACGUGGACAUACCUAAUCACUGGACUUCCCUUCCCCCUCGGCAAAAAGGAAAUGGAAAGGAGCUUCUUCUCAGAAAGGUCUGUUGGCAUCUGACUGUGUCCAUGGAGCAAAAAGCAGAACGAGCAGUUUUCAUCAAAUAGGUGGUGCCUGUUUGGGAAAGUCAUUCAGGGCCAGGCCCCACCCUAGGGUCUUCCACUGCACAGCUGUGUUGCCUUUGGAUGCAGAGACUUCCCCAGAGGACCACCCAGCCUGGGGGUCCCCGCACAGAGGCCUCAGGGCUAUGGCACGUAGCUGAUUAUCAUCCCACCUGGGCUGCUUUUAACCUCGUCUCUACCCACAUCUUUAAUUAGAAUUCGUGUGGGUAGGGCUUAAGAAAAUGUAAGCAUUUAGAAAGCUCCUCAGAUGAGUCUUAAAACCAGCCAGGUGUAGCAGCCACAGACCUAUAGCUUCCUGGCCUGGAACACCUGGUGGAAGUCAGAGCCGCCCUAGUGCUGGUCAACUACUGAGCCUUUUGCCUUCUCAGAUGGGGACCCUGGAGUCCAGAGAAAGGGCAAAUGAAAAACUCAGGAACCCUUAGGACCAGGAACAAGGGGGCCUCUCAUCCCCCAGCUUCUCUGAGGAGGAAGAGGAGGAGAAAAAACCCCCACGGAGGAACCGGGCUAGACCACCUACUUGCUGCUCCUGGGCAUCCUGGGCCAUCCUCGGUGCUGGACCGCUGCUAGGGUGUCGUAAGCUCUACCCUCCACCACAAGGAAAACAUGAAAUAAAUCCUAGUUGAUGGACAUUCGACAAAAUCCCUCACCAGUAUGCCUCAAAACUGUCAAGCUCAUCAAAAACAAGGAAAGUCUGAGAAAUUGUCACAGCCAAGUUCCAGGGUCAGCAUCUGCCCCAAAGAGGACACUCUCCCACCAGGCUUAUGAUGAAGAGAUUUGGGACCAUGAGUCUGCCUCAAGGAGUCUCGUGCCUUAAGGGAGAUGCUGCAGAAGGCCAGGGAAGCCAGUCCCACACCGGGAAGACCCCAUGGCAGCCCAGGCUCACACAGUGGAGGCCUCAGAUGCAGCAGCUGAGCAAGAAAAAAUAUCUUGGAGCAAUCCAGCCUCCUCUGCCCCUCCGGAAUCCCUGGCUCACGCUGGAGUGUGGAUCUCUGCACCCGCCCUAGGCAAGCCAUCAUUGGUAGGUUGCAAGCCCCAAGGAGCAGCAGCAGCCUGAGGGAGUCCCUGGAAAUCCCGCCCCCAGCCUCUUGAGGACCCCGAGAGUGCCAUUCAUUGGGAAUCUUCUGGCCUCAACCCUGGAAGCUGGCUGUGGUCUCAGCAAAGCCAACUCCACUGGCUCGGAGGCUGCCAACUAGGCCCAGACCCACCAUGGAGCCAGAGGCCCAGAGUCAGGCUGCAGAGGCCAGUUCGCACAUCAUAGGUGACUGAGAUGCCGUCCUCACUGGUCAGUUCGAUCUUGGGAAUGUCCCCCCUUGUCUUAGCAGGUGGCAGAUCCAGGUGCGGACAGAUCUCCGUAGGCAGGGAGGAGUCGUACAGCUUGUAGGUCUGUGGGUCAGACAUGGGCUGAGCAGGACAAGGGGUGGGCAACAUGGCACACCAGGUGGGAAGGGCCUGGGGCCCAGAACAUGGGUGUGUGGAUAUGACAGGAGGCAGGAAAGCAGCCUCCCCUCUCGCAUGCUCACCUUUAGGUUUGGGUAGAGGACCAGGGUCGUGUGGUUCAGCUCCACGGACAGGGAUGUGAGUCCUGAAGGGGCCCGGUUCAGCGUCAGCGAGAACGUGUUGUGGGCGAAGUCCUUGGCCAGCAGCAGACUGCCACAGUGGCCACCAAGACUCCACACCUGGCCAUCGAAGGUUACCACAUGCCUGUCCCCGGCCACCACAGCAUGGUCUGGGAAGAAGAAAUCCCUAAGGCAAGUGAGAUGGGUCCCUCUGCCCAGGGGGGCUCUAGGGUGUCCUCUUGGGCAGCCCACAUGCAGGAGGUCUACCCCCAGCUCUUCUCCCCUCAGCACCCAGAAGUAAGCUGUCUACAGCCAAGUCGACAAUACACAGAAACAAAAGGCUGAUACACUUGUGAAUCUUGAAAAGGUUCUGUUGGGUGAAAAGCCAUCACAAAAAGUCACGUGUUACAUGAUCCCAUUUGUACGAACUGUCCAGAGUAGGCAAAUCCACAGAGCCAGGAAGUAGACUGGUGGGAGCUGAGGACUGAGGAUGACAGCUAAGGGGCAAAGGUCAGCUUCUGAGGUAAUGAAAAUGCUCUAAAAUUGACUCUGGUGAUGGAAUGUGCACCUCUCUGAAUAUUUUCAGAGCCACUGAAUUAUAUGCUUAAAAUAAAUGGUGUGGUAUGUGAAUUAUGUGUCCAGGAAGCUAUUGAAAAAUAAUCACUGUGGAAAAAAAAUGCACAAAACUAUGGCCCAGGGCUGCAUCCAACACAAGGAAGGUACCAUGGGGGCCUGGCUCUGCCCUCUUCAAGGUGGGCAGAAGAUGGUCUGAGAAGGAGCAGUGUGACCCGCCAGGCCAGUACUGCUGCUGAGCAGUGGCUUGGGGCGGCAUCUGGCUGGGCCAGAGUGGGGGAGCACUACUGGACACCUACCAGGCCCAGGAGCUGCUGGCCCGCCCAGCCUCACACGGAGGGUCCUGUACACCCCUUCAUGAGCAAUCAGAGCUGAAGGUCACACGUGUAUGGAAGUCCAAGACCGGCUGCUCCUACCUCUCCGUGCUGUCUAGCAGAGGAAGUAACCCUGACCCUAGGAGGGCUACUGCUUGUCCUGAGCCUCUGCCUUCCCAUGGGGAUGAUUAUGAAAACCACACCGAUGCACCAGGCCCACCCGGCCCUGGGUGCCACACCUGCCCCCGGACUUGAGAUGUGCCCCAGCAUCGAGGAUUUCAGCUCACAAACUGCCUGUGCCUGGCACCCAAAGGAGUGAGCCCGGUUGCCACCUCCACUUGACAGAAGGGAAACCGAGUCCCAGAGAGGUGGGAAGACUCGCCCAGGCCACACUGGGGCCUGAGCUAGAUGCCAGCUCCCCAGGGGCCCCAAGCCUCCAGAGCUGCAUCCGGUCCUGGCACAGCCGGUGGUGGCCGGCCCGGCCAGACCAAGAGUCUGGACUCAAUUAGUGGCCUUCCGGCCCCAACUGGAGGUCUGCCUUCUGCGGCUCCAGCCCAGUCCAGGGGGAGGGAGUUGGCCCCGAGCCGCUUGGCGCACUUCUGUGCGGGGCCCCACGCUCGGGCUUGCCUCUUCUGGAUGAAAGCCCGGAUCGGCAGCCUGGCCCUAGUCCAGUAUUGACCUUGGGAAGUCCACUAAGCUCUGGGCCGGGCCGUACCAUGCUGGGGCUCCGAGUGUCGCCCAGGGCCUGUCCAUCUGCCCCGUCCCACAGGACAGGGGCCUUCCCGGGAGGAGGUGGCCCGGGACUCACAGUCAUGGGGGCUCUCCAGCAGGAGACGCUGCAGCCGGUAGUACUCGGCCAGCACGCGGGUCCCGUACAGCUCGCGGAGGGGCCGCAGCAGCUUCUCCUCCACCAGGUGGCCGGUCACCCGGGCCAUGGUCAGGGGCUCGUCCCCCGCAGGCAGCAGCGGCAGUGUCACCAUCACAGAGCAGUUUCUGGAGGAAACGAGGGGAGGAGUUGGAGACCCUGGCCUGUGUUUGC